GUACUCAAGCAGAGAAGAAAUCCACAAGUACUCACCAGUCUCCUGGUCUGCAGAGAAGACAGAAUCAAUAUGAGCACAGCAGGAAAAGUAAUCAAAUGCAAAGCAGCUGUGCUAUGGGAGUUAAAGAAACCCUUUUCCAUUGAGGAGGUAGAGGUUGCACCUCCUAAGGCUCAUGAAGUUCGCAUUAAGAUGGUGGCUGCAGGAAUCUGUCGUUCAGAUGACCAUGUGGUUAGUGGUACCGUGGUGACCCCCCUUCCUGCGAUUUUAGGCCAUGAGGCAGCCGGCAUCGUGGAGAGUGUUGGAGAAGGGGUGACUACAGUCAAACCAGAAUUUGUAAAAACCCAGAAAGCAACUACUGCUUGAAAAAUGAUGUGAGCAAUCCUCGGGGGACCCUGCAGGACGGCACCAGGAGGUUCACCUGCAGGGGGAAGCCCAUUCACCACUUCCUUGGCACCAGCACCUUCUCCCAGUACACGGUGGUGGAUGAGAAUGCAGUAGCCAAAAUUGAUGCAGCCUCGCCCCUGGAGAAGGUCUGCCUCAUUGGCUGUGGAUUUUCGACUGGUU
rnacentral:sRNA from 1 species